rnacentral:lncRNA from 1 species
CCGUUCUUAAACCUUUAGGAAAUAGAUAGAUAAGUUGGUGAACAGAAAUAAAUAGAUAAAUGAAAGGUGAUCUCGUGCUAGUCCCUUCCGAAGAUGAUAAGAACGGAUCGAGAUUAUUUUAUUCACCAGCAGUGUCAAUAUGGUUCACAACUACAAAAACAAAUCAAUAUUAAUUAAUUUUGGUAAUUAAAGAAGAAAUAUAAUGUGGCGACAAAAAGAGAGGCAGAAAUAUAAUAUAGGGUAUCAAAAGUUAUGCCUUUAACGACCCUACCUGCCUUUAAUAUAUUGUCUGGAUUCACAGACCAUGGACGUGCUUCACAUUUUUAAACUUUGUAACAG